rnacentral:rRNA from 1 species
CCCUUAGAUGUCCUGGGCCGCACGCGCGCUACACUGACAUGUUCAACAAGCCUCCUAGUUCGACAGGAUUUGGGAAAUUUUUGAACGCAUGUCGUGAUAGGGAUAGAUCAUUGCAAUUAUUGAUCUUGAACGAGGAAUUCCUAGUAAACGCGAGUCAUCAGCUCGCAUUGAUUACGUCCCUGCCCUUUGUACACACCGCCCGUCGCACCUACCGAUUGAAUGUUUCGGUGAAGAUUCCGGAUAGGACUUUUUUGAUUUAUUUCAAUUUUGUCUUAAAAGCUAUCUAAACCUCAACAUUUAGAGGAAGGUGAAGUCGUAACA